rnacentral:rRNA from 1 species
UCCUGGCUUAGGAUGAACGCUAGCGACAGGCUUAACACAUGCAAGUCGAGGGGCAUCACGGGAGUAGCAAUACGAACUGGUGGCGACCGGCGCACGGGUGAGUAACGCGUAUGCAACCUACCUAUCGAGAGGGGAAUAACCCGGCGAAAGUCGGACUAAUACCGCAUAAAACAGGGGCACCGCAUGGUGAUAUUUGUUAAAGAAAUUCGCUGAUAGAUGGGCAUGCGUUCCAUUAGGUAGUUGGUGAGGUAACGGCUCACCAAGCCGACGAUGGAUAGGGGAACUGAGAGGUUGGUCCCCCACACUGGUACUGAGACACGGACCAGACUCCUACGGGAGGCAGCAGUGAGGAAUAUUGGUCAAUGGGCGGGAGCCUGAACCAGCCAAGUCGCGUGAAGGAAGAAGGAUCUAUGGUUCGUAAACUUCUUUUGCAGGGGAAUAAAGUGCAGGACGUGUCCUGUUUUGUAUGUACCCUGAGAAUAAGGAUCGGCUAACUCCGUGCCAGCAGCCGC